rnacentral:rRNA from 1 species
GAUGAACGCUGGCGGCGUGCUUAACACAUGCAAGUCGAACGAAGCACUUUAUUUGAUUUCCUUCGGGACUGAUUAUUUUGUGACUGAGUGGCGGACGGGUGAGUAACGCGAGGGUAAACUGCCUUGUACCGGGGGAUAACCGUUGGAAACGGAUGCGAAUACCGCAUACGCGCACGGCAUCGCAUGAUGCAGUGUGCAAAACUCCGGUGGUAUAAGAUGGACCCGCGUUGGAUUAGCUAGUUGGUGAGGUAACGGCCCACCAAGGCGACGAUCCAUAGCCGACCUGAGAGGGUGACCGGCCACAUUGGGACUGAGACACGGCCCAAACUCCUACGGGAGGCAGCAGUGGGGAAUAUUGCACAAUGGGCGAAAGCCUGAUGCAGCGACGCCGCGUGAGCGAAGAAGUAUUUCGGUAUGUAAAGCUCUAUCAGCAGGGAAGAUAAUGACGGUACCUGACUAAGAAGCACCGGCUAAAUACGUG